ensembl:lncRNA
CUCCAGAGUCACCAUGUGAUCCCGGCAUGAGGAUGCCAAUGGAAGGCAGCCUAAAUAAGAUAAGUCUUAUAAAAUAUACAGAUUUAUGAUAAUUAAGACUGAGCUAACAGAUGAGAAAUCCUAGUCAUUGGCCAAGCAGCAUUUGUACCUAAUAUAAGUCUCUGUGUAUUAUCUGGGGCCCUAACUCGGCAGGCAGAAAUCAGGUGGCUGGCGGAAACCACCCACGUGGCGGUAGGGCUCGGGUGGCUUUUGGUGGAAAGACUUAUCGUAACACCAAUUGUUUGUGAUUUUUGUGCUUAUAAACCCUGCUUCUGCCCUGGCUUGGGCUUUCAGGAGUAAGGAGGCUCCAAAGUCCUUGUCCUGCAGCCCCGAUCCAUCGUGACCUGUUUAUGUGAACCAAUAAGUGUCUCUCUCCUUGCCCAUGGCGCAUAACAGGCUAGGUGUAGCAAUGCUUUAAAAUGUAAGUACACCAAGGCAAACAGGAAGUUAGUAUGGAUGCAGAGAGGUAGGUAAACUGGAAUAUGGUAUGAAACUAACUGAAGUACUCGUAGGUAGUGAAGAGUGUUGGUUGAUGUGCUUCUCUGUUAACAAAAUGCAUCCUGACCACCUCUCGGUGCUUCAGAACAAUGCCUGAUGUGUUCAUCGUUAUUACGGGCACACCACUAAUUGCUCACCACCUCUUAUCCAUGCGUCUCCCUCAAUGCACCACUUCUCUGGCUAGACCAUCAUACAGCCUACCUCCAGUGUUCUCCAACUCUUAAGACUCUGAACAUAAUUGCUUCACAACAAUUUUUGUUACAUCAUUUGCUGUGUUCAGCUUGUUUUUCUAAAAAUGCACGGCAUCAAAUAUUAUCAGAGUUCCUAGUAAUUAUUGGCGUCCAUGUGUAAACCAAGGGCCUGGAAGAGUGAGUAGAGCCAUGGCCACCAAAACAGAGUGUUAGAAACCGUUCCUACCUGAACCAGGAGGGAUACUCUCCCUCAGUAAGAUGGAAGCGGUGACUUGUCACAAUUGUAACAUUUAAUUCUCUAAAAAAAAUUCAGUAAAUUAUCACUCUUUCCAUCUACCCAUUAGUAAAUGAAAACUCCUACAGUUAAGGCAUUCUACAAAUGCUCACAUCUGAUAUGAAAUGGGGUGGAAGCCAGAUGCCAGGCCUACUUGAGGAUAAACCCAUGUCACUUCCCACCAGGUUACACAAUAUUGAUUGCUUUAGAUUUAUCUUAUUAGUCUUUAAAACCUGCACAUGCCUGUGUGUUUCUGUGUGGGUAUGAGCACACAUGUGCCGGUGCUCAGAGAUGGAGGCCUCGAAUUUCCCAGAGCUGCAGGUCCAGGCAGUUGUUAUUUGUCCCAUAUAUGCAGUGACAACCGAACUCCUGACCUCUGGAAAAAGCAGUGCAUUCUCUUAACCACUGAGCUAUCUCUCCAGCCCCAUUGUAUCAAUUUUUCAUGUGUCAAAGCAUGGAAAACAAAAAGUAGCCGAAAACAAAAAGAAACCGGAGGUAUAGAAGGAUCACUGGUUUUUACUGUAUGUUAACACACAUAAAAAUUAUGUCUCGGAGUUCUGGUGUCUUAUUUCAUGCAGGGCAUGGUAGGUUUUCCUGCACAUCCUUGAUGGGGCUUGGCACUGCCUGAACUUAGGCUUAUUAGCUCUGCUGAUGAGGUCAUCAGGUGCUAAGGGAUCCCAACUCUGGCACUGUGAUUUCAGAGACUCCAAGUAGGUUGUAAAAAUGUGAGCCAAGAUCACAAGAAUCUUGUUAACAAGGAGAUGUUGACACAUGAAACAUCAGCAAAGGAGACAAGAUAGCAAGUAAAUGAACACACUGCUUGGUGACAAUGCUCAGAAGGGAGAGCAGGAAGAAAGGCAGGUCCUUGGUUCUCACAAUCCACCACUCACCACUUGCUGACUCUUUUGUUGUCCAACUGGUUAAAUCCACACUCAAGAUGAAGGUCCUCAUUCUACAACAAGUCCUUAUCACUCAGCUACAUGCAAGUAGUCGUCACUUCCCAGGAGACUGGCUCAGUUUCUUGUUGUAUCUGCUGGUGAGAAACCCCAAUGCAGGGAUUAGCAGACAAAGCGAGACACAAGUGAUAUGUUCAAGGUGAGAAUCUACUUCCCAGAUGUUUAUUAUCCAUGAACACAAGAACCAAGUUGGUGGUGUGGCUCUCUUGUCCUGUAGUGUCUGGCACAAUGGUUUCUUGGGUUUAGUUCCCUUUGAUUUCUCAUGAAUAAAAUAGCUCCAUUCUUGCCUUUGGAUCUUUGCUAUUUGACCUCUAAAGUCUUCUCUAAUUUUCCCACAACAGUAGGAAAGUAGAGAUGGCACCUAGUAGCACAUUCAUCAUGAUGCCACCCCCUGCCCAGUCUGACCAUCUCCCAUUUCUAAGCAGUCAGGACACUCUAUUCCCAGUAAUUCAGCUACCAACAAUGCUGUCUUGAUUAAGUUUUGAUUCAAGUCCUUAAGGACCUGUAUGCCAGACACUGUUGCAAGCACUUCUAGAAAGGCCUCAUGUCAUGUUGUAGAAGCCUGUAACACUUGUACUCUUUUAAUGUCAGGUAAAGAAUCUGGAGGCGUCCUGGGAAGUCUAUGGGGCCUCUAGCAGUGGAACCAGUAUUUAUCCCUACUGCACAAAUGAACUUUGGGAGCCCAUUCCCCAUGGAGAGUUACUCUCUCUGCCUAGAUACAUGGGGGAGGGCCUAGGUCCUGCCCCAAAUGAUGUGACAGACUUGGAUGAUCCCCCAUGGGAGGCCUUAUCCUCCCUGGGGAGUGGAUACAGGGUGGGAUGGGGGUUGGUGGGGAGCAUGGGAGGAUGGAAGGGAGAGGGAACUGGGAUUGAUAUGUAAAAUAAGAUUAUUUUUAAUUUAAAUAAAAAUUCAUAAAAAAAGAAUCUGGAGGCAAACUAACUAACUCUAGGUCUCCAAGCUAGUGUCACGUGAAGCUGUAGAGCAUACAAAUCAGGCCUCCUCCUGCUCUCCAGACCAUUCUCCUGGAUACCUCAGGAAGGACUUCUACUGUGACCAUGUCUGCCCUCUGUUUCCAUUUCAGACUUGUCAAGAGCAUAUAAUUGACAGGAAAAGUGGCUCCUGGGAUGAGAGCCAGCCAGAUCCUCUGGGAGCAGUGCCAUUGGCCAGGCUGGCACACAGGAACACAUGCUCCAGUCUCUCUGGACUUGACAGCUGCUUCAGCCUUUGACAUGACCUUUUGGGAUCCUUACUAACCUGCUCCAGGCAGUUGUCUUCCAUGAAUUCUUAUGAUACGGAUUUCCACACAAGGCUCCUUAUCUUUCCAUCCUGUUUCUAUACAUGCAUGUGGUGGUUUGAAUAAGAAUGGCUCCCGUAGACUCAGCAGUGGCACAUGAGGAGGUGUGGCCUUGCUGGAGUAGGUGUGGCAUUGUUGGAGGAAGUGUGUCACUGAGGUCUUACCUGCUCAAGCUACACUCAGGAUGACACACAAUCUCCUGCUGCCUGCACAUCAAGAUGAAGAAUUCUCAGCUCUGCCCUCAUGUCGCCAUCUCCUACCAUGAUGACAAUGGACCAAACCUCUGAAACUCAGGUCUCAACUAUAUCGAGGUUCUAAGGAAGACAGAGCCCCACCCAGUGAACUCUAACCAGUGUCCAUUCUACAGAGGGUCAGCAUAGAGAAAAAUGUCUUCAAUGCAUCAAGCUAAGCCAUGGUCAAGCAAGGCCUUUGACUUGUGCUCACACAGAUGGAACAACUGGUAAAAGGAAGGCUGGGGGAGCCAGAGGCUCCUGGCAAGCCCAAGUGACCCUGAGAACCAAAUACUCUGCUGGCCUUGACAAUAAAUAAGAAAAGAAUUUUGGCCACCUAUGUGGUCUUAAAAACCAGCAAGAAAGUAUAACCAAAAACUAAAAUGAUGGAGAAAAUGGGGGAUGGGGUGAAGCCGGAGUGGGAAAAUUAGUGGAUCCAUUUGAAAUAGAAGUUCCAUGAAGAGCAAAGAGACCGUGAAGGAACCUAUUCAAAAGAUACAGAAAACAAAAUACUGGAAUGGCUAAGGGCCAGCUUGACAGCAACAGCUCACAUCCCCCCUUCACAGGAGGACGGAGAGAAUGGGACAGACUUUGUCAUUGUCCACAGUGAGUCUCAAACUUCUGGAACAAUACCAGUUACUUCUGAGACCAAAAAAACUUUAUAGAUAUAUAAAAUUAAAUAGAAAUAUUUAAAGAGGCCAUAGAGGCAUAGCAUGGACAACACACAAAAUUUGAAGGAAAGCAAAAGCAACAAAAGAAAGUUGAUUAAGAUUCCUCAGGUCUUGAAAUCUGGAUCUGGAUCCAAAGGACAAAAAGAAUUACAGAGAUGAGAGCAAGAAAUACAACACAAAGCCAGAAGACACCAUUCAUCCAAGUUUAUGGAAAUGGCACCUUGAGAGUACAGAACUUUACAGCAGGACAUGGUGGCCCACAUGGGAAGCCAGUGCCAGCAGAUGGGGGUUUCUUUUACCAUAGAAAUGAGGAGAAUGGCAAUGUAUUAAGAUCCCAGAGAAACAGUUAGUAAUAACAAAUGCUCUCCAGGUAGUGUCCGAAUCUGCUGAGCAGCUCUGUCUUUAUCUACUGUCUCUAUCUCAUGGUUCAUUGUUCAUCUGGCUUCACUCUAAAUACACAUAGCUUUUCCAAAGGACUGAUGUGUGAUCUAAUGGCCUGUGGUCUCCAAAAGUGACAGUCUGGGAGGUGGCCACCUUUCAUUGUCCCCUGGCCCAGCAAUGUCUAGUGGUUCUACUCUGAGGAAAGUAAAAGGACAUUAAGGAGGUAGAUAGCAGAAGAUGAAAGGGGCAUUGAAGAAAGAGGCGUGGACAGCCUAGCAGAGGUGUGUCGAGCCUACACUGGGUGUGUGUGGACCUCGAAUACCUGUUUAUUUAUUUUAUGACCCCUCUUGGCUGCCUGUGUCAUAGAGCUUUGAGGACAUCUGUGCUCAGGAAUCUGUUUUGAAAGACUUCAUUCCAGGACAGAACUGCUGGAGAGAGGAUCACCAAUGAUCUUCACAAUUGCCUCACAUGAAGUUCACAGAUCAAGAGGAAACGGUGACAAGGUUGAGGAAGGGUCAUAGGUAGCAGGCACAGUGGUCCUAUGUGACACUUUGUACCUGUGUGAGAUGGGAGCCCAUAAGACAACAAUCUUCCCAAGCUCCUGAUGUUUGGAUUUUCCGUUAACUUUUAAGCCUCUCUAUCUAAGGAGCUCCCUUUAGGGAUUAAAAUUUUAUAUUUACAAGAAAAAAAAUGGAGGAGGAGAAAUCCUUGCUUGCAACUGCCUAGCAGGGAUAGAAGGGGUCGGAACUGAUGACACUUGAAGAUAUGGGAGGCAAGGAGGCGAUUUGGUUAGUGUGCCUACGAGGCCAUGUAUUAUUUCCUUCAGAUAGUCUUCCCCUCAUUCACAGCUGCUAGUGUCUCAUGUCAUAGGCACUUUUAAGGCCAAAACUGAGUGUUCUUGGUUACCCGGAUGUAGGAACUGGAAGCACUUACCAACACCCAUGAGGACAGAUAUGGAACUAAUGAGUUCAGUGCUAGCAAUGCCAUUCGGGUGAUACGACUUCCACACACAGCAUCAAGGGCCUAGAAGAACCCAUGAAUGACAUGGAGAGGAAUCGAUGGGCCAGGUCCUCCAAGAACCAGUCAGGAGGUGGAAUUCUCUCUUGAGACCUCUUCAUGCACGAUCAGACCUUGGAAAAAAGUGACCUCUUGUCAGGCCACAGCUCCAGCAAAUACCUGACCCCAAAAAGGCUUUGCUGCCUCAUACUCUCCACAAAACCAAGUGGCUCCAACUGGACACUUGGAAAGAAAACAGACUUGGAUAAUUGUGGUUAGACAAACAAUUUCAAGAUCAUUUGGCCUGUGUGUUUAGAAGGCUCAGGGGGCCUGAGGAAUGCGGUGAAUUUACAGGAAGAGGGACAAGAACACACAUUCCUCCAGAACGCCCAAUCACCAAGCUCUUGUUUAUUUUUUGGAACCAGUGAUGUCUGGAGAGAGGUCAUCCUUUCUGAGGUUGGAGAGUGAAGACAUGUUCUGAGGUUAUAGCCAGACAAGACAAAUGAGGGAUAGAAGGACAUCUAAUGUGGUUUCUAACAAAAGCUAGCUCCAGUUCAGAGGUGGGAACUGAGAACUGUCGGAGUCUACUGGAGGGCCUUGCAGGGACUCAACCCUGAGGGAGUGUAGACGGAUGCACACCUGAUGCUGGCAGUAAAGGAGCUGUGAUUUGGUGUUGCCUAAAGGUCUGCGUGGUGAAG